rnacentral:rRNA from 1 species
GGCAGACGAGGUAGGAACACGUAGGUACGUACCUCAAAGUCAGGGAUAAUCCGCCGAAAGGCGGGAUAAUACUUGAUAGUCUCUUCGGAGUAAAGAUUUAUCGCUUUGGGAACGGCCUGCGGGCUAUCAGCUUGUUGGUAAGGUAACGGCUUACCAAGGCUACGACGGCUAGGGGAGGUGAGAGCCUGACCCCCACCGAUGGAACUGCGACACGGUCCAUACUCCUACGGGAGGCUGCAGUCGAGAAUCUUCCGCAAUGGGCGAAAGCCUGACGGAGCGACGCCGCGUGGUGGAUGAAGUCCUUAGGGACGUAAACACCUUUUAUGAGGGAGAAAGUAUAUUGAUGUUACCUCAUGAAUAAGGGGCUCCCAACUCUGUGCCAGCAGGAGCGGUAAUACAGAGGCCCCAAGCAUUAUCCGGAUUUACUGGGCGUAAAGGGUGCGUAGGCGGUUAUAUUAGUCGGGUGUUAAAUCCUGGGGCUCAACCUCAGGUUCGCAUUCGAAACGGUAUGACUAGAAGGUGUGAGAGGUAAGCAGAACUCAUGGUGUAGGGGUGAAAUCCGUUGAUAUCAUGGGGAAUACCAAAUGCGAAGGCAGCUUACUGGCACAUUCUUGACGCUGAGGCACGAAAGCGUGGGUAGCGAAGCGGAUUAGAUACCCGCGUAGUCCACGCCCUAAACGCUGUCUGUUGGCUAUAGGGAGUAUCGACCCUCUCUGUGGCGAAGCUAACGCGUUAAACAGACCGCCUGGGUAGUACGAUCGCAAGAUUAAAACUCAAAGGAAUAGACGGGGGCUCGCACAAGCGGUGGAUCAUGUGGCUUAAUUCGUCGAUAAGCGAAGAACCUUACCAAAGGCUAGAAAUCAUACUGCACGCUCUGGGAAACCAGAGAGCCUUCGAGGGUGUAUGACAGGUGAUGCAUGCCGUCGUCAGUUCGUGCUUGAGCUGUCCCUUAGUGGGGAAACGACGCACCCUCGUGUGUGUAUAGUAUCACACGAGACUGCUCCUCACGGGAGAGA